AGGCGAAACUCUGUUGUGUUAUGGGUAACAGUCUGUAGAUGGCGCUGCGGAGCCACGGCCGCCAUUAGGGACUGAAAGCACAACUGUGAAGAUGUGCAAAGUGGUCGAAACGCAAGCAGUGUUCUGCAAUAAAUUGCAAAAAUUAUCAGUCCACCAGAAGCGAUUUGGCAUUUCAUCGGUUUCCAAAGGAUGCACAAAGACAUUGCAGGUGUGCCAGGUGGGUCCAGAAUCUAAGGAAUGCAUCCCUUCAUGGCAUACCUUUAGAUCAGCUGCAUCGGACCUACAGGGUGUGCAGUGCCCAUUUCCACAGCAGCCAGUUCAAAAGACCAUCUGAUGUCCAUGGUGGGCUGAACUGGGAUGCUGUGCCCACAAGAAUACAGGCCCCUAACCCACCUCCCCCACUAGAUGUCGAGAGAAAGCGUAAACCUCCGAAGACACGCCAGGAGUUGCCACGUAAAAAACGCAAGCAGAGUCAAGUUCCUCCUCCCUCCAAAGACCAGCAUACCGGGGAAGCUGUAGCGGGGCCUUCAUCAAUCAGUUAUUGUUCAUUUUUAGAAAUCUAUACAAAACUUGAACUGGCUAGUAGCUGACUAAUGCUUCCAUUCUAUGUCAGUGCCUCUUCUCUCACAAAAAGAAAAAAAUACAACAAAACUUAAAUGCUCACACAAUAGAUGGUGGUGUCUGAUUAAUUACUGAGAUCUUAUGGCUCCAUUUUAGUACUGUUUAUAGUUCAUGUGUGCACUUGCUAGAUUGCACAUCUUUUUUGUACCUUUCCGCCUGUAAUAGGACAUUCACAGAUUGUUUUUGUUCUUGCCAUUGAAACGUUCACUGUGUGCACUUUCAAUGAAGAUGUUGAAAAAACUUGUUAAUAUUUUUGUGAUAUUCUAUGUAAAAGAUUAACUCGUAAGAAAUGUUCAUUUAUAAUUUUAUUUAUUUAUUUUUCCAAAUCAUAUAUGGUGAUGUUCAAACAUUUCAAAAUCAACAUUUGAAUAAAUGUUAU